GACAGAGGAUGCAAGCGUUAUCCGGAAUUAUUGGGCGUAAAGCGUCUGUAGGUGGCUUUUUAAGUUCGCCGUCAAAUCCCAGGGCUCAACCCUGGACAGGUGGUGGAAACUACCAAGCUAGAGUACGGUAGGGGCAGAGGGAAUUUCCGGUGGAGCGAUGAAAUGCGUAGAGAUCGGAAGGAACACCCAAGGCGAAAGCACUCUGCUGGACCGACACUGACACUGAGAGACGAAAGCUAGGGGAGCAAAUGGG
rnacentral:rRNA from 1 species